rnacentral:rRNA from 1 species
AUUGAACGCUGGCGGCAGGCUUAACACAUGCAAGUCGAGCGGAGAUGAGGUGCUUGCACCUUAUCUUAGCGGCGGACGGGUGAGUAAUGCUUAGGAAUCUGCCUAUUAGUGGGGGACAACAUUCCGAAAGGAAUGCUAAUACCGCAUACGUCCUACGGGAGAAAGCAGGGGAUCUUCGGACCUUGCGCUAAUAGAUGAGCCUAAGUCGGAUUGGCUAGUUGGUGGGGUAAAGGCCUACCAAGGCGACGAUCUGUAGCGGGUCUGAGAGGAUGAUCCGCCAACAUGGGACUGAGACACGGCCCAGACUCCUACGGGAGGCAGCAGUGGGGAAUAUUGGACAAUGGGGGGAACCCUGAUCCAGCCAUGCCGCGUGUGUGAAGAAGGCCUUAUGGUUGUAAAGCACUUUAAGCGAGGAGGAGGCUACUGAGACUAAUACUCUUGGAUAGUGGACGUUACUCGCAGAAUAAGCACCGGCUAACUCUGUGCCAGCCGCCGCCCGUAAUAC